rnacentral:rRNA from 1 species
AGUGAACGCUGGCGGUAGGCCUAACACAUGCAAGUCGAACGGCAGCACGGUAAGAGCUUGCUCUUACGGGUGGCGAGUGGCGGACGGGUGAGGAAUACAUCGGAAUCUACUUUUUCGUGGGGGAUAACGUAGGGAAACUUACGCUAAUACCGCAUACGACCUACGGGUGAAAGCAGGGGAUCUUCGGACCUUGCGCGAUUGAAUGAGCCGAUGUCGGAUUAGCUAGUUGGCGGGGUAAAGGCCCACCAAGGCGACGAUCCGUAGCUGGUCUGAGAGGAUGAUCAGCCACACUGGAACCGAGACACGGUCCAGACUCCUACGGGAGGCAGCAGUGGGGAAUAUUGGACAAUGGGCGCAAGCCUGAUCCAGCCAUCCCGCGUGGGUGAAGAAGGCCUUCGGGUUGUAAAGCCCUUUUGUUGGGAAAGAAAAGCAGCAGGUUAAUACCCCGCUGUUCUGACGGUACCCAAAUAAUAAGCACCGGCUAACUUCGUG